GAUGAACGCUGGCGGCGUGCCUUAUACAUGCAAGUCGAGCGAACAGACGAGGAGCUUGCUCCUCUGACGUUAGCGGCGGACGGGUGAGUAACACGUGGAUAACCUACCUAUAAGACUGGGAUAACUUCGGGAAACCGGAGCUAAUACCGGAUAAUAUAUUGAACCGCAUGGUUCAAUAGUGAAAGACGGUUUUGCUGUCACUUAUAGAUGGAUCCGCGCCGCAUUAGCUAGUUGGUAAGGUAACGGCUUACCAAGGCGACGAUGCGUAGCCGACCUGAGAGGGUGAUCGGCCACACUGGAACUGAGACACGGUCCAGACUCCUACGGGAGGCAGCAGUAGGGAAUCUUCGGCAAUGGGCGAAAGCCUGACGGAGCAACGCCGCGUGAGUGAUGAAGGUCUUCGGAUCGUAAAGCUCUGUUAUUAGGGAAGAACAAAUGUGUAAGUAACUAUGCACGUCUUGACGGUACCUAAUCAGAAAGCCACGGCUAACUACGUG
rnacentral:rRNA from 1 species